rnacentral:rRNA from 1 species
UACGUAGGUGGCGAGCGUUAUCCGGAAUGAUUGGGCGUAAAGGGUGCGCAGGCGGUCCUGCAAGUCUGGAGUGAAAGGUACCGGCUCAACCGGUAUAGGCUCUGGAAACUGGCGGGCUAGAGAGCAGGAGAGGGCGGUGGAACUCCAUGUGUAGCGGUAAAAUGCGUAGAUAUAUGGAAGAACACCAGUGGCGAAGGCGGCCGCCUGGCCUGUUGCUGACGCUGAGGCACGAAAGCGUGGGGAGCAAAUAGG